ACUUAAAAUCCGUCGAUUUUCAAAAUCG
rnacentral:tRNA from 1 species